rnacentral:rRNA from 1 species
UAGGGAGGGCGCAAGCGUUACUCGGAAUCACUGGGCGUAAAGAGCGUGUAGGCGGAUAGAUAAGUCAGGAGUGAAAUCCUAUGGCUCAACCAUAGAACUGCUCUUGAAACUGUCUAUCUAGAAUAUGGGAGAGGUAGAUGGAAUUUCUGGUGUAGGGGUAAAAUCCGUAGAGAUCAGAAGGAAUACCGAUUGCGAAGGCGAUCUACUGGAACAUUAUUGACGCUGAGACGCGAAAGCGUGGGGAGCAAACAGGAUUAGAUACCCUGGUAGUCCACGCCCUAAACGAUGUACACUAGUUGUUGUGAGGCUCGACCUUGCAGUAAUGCAGUUAACACAUUAAGUGUACCGCCUGGGGAGUACGGUCGCAAGAUUAAAACUCAAAGGAAUAGACGGGGACCCGCACAAGCGGUGGAGCAUGUGGUUUAAUUCGACGAUACACGAAGAACCUUACCUGGUCUUGACAUACUAAGAACCUUUAAGAGAUUAGAGGGUGCUAGCUUGCUAGAACUUAGAUACAGGUGCUGCACGGCUGUCGUCAGCUCGUGUCGUGAGAUGUUGGGUUAAGUCCCGCAACGAGCGCAACCCUCGUCGUUAGUUGCUAACAGUUCGGCUGAGAACUCUAACGAGACUGCCUACGCAAGUAGGAGGAAGGUGAGGACGACGUCAAGUCAUCAUGGCCCUUACGACCAGGGCUACACACGUGCUACAAUGGGAUAUACAAAGAGCAGCAAUACGGUGACGUGGAGCAAAUCUCAAAAAUAUCUCCCAGUUCGGAUUGUAGUCUGCAACUCGACUACAUGAAGUUGGAAUCGCUAGUAAUCGUAGAUCAGCUAUGCUACGGUGAAUACGUACGCGGGUCU